rnacentral:rRNA from 1 species
GACGAACCGAGCGAACGUUAUUCGGAUUCACUGGGCUUAAAGGGUGCGUAGGCGGUCUGUCAAGUCUGGGGUGAAAUCCCACGGCUCAACCGUGGAACUGCCUUAGAUACUGAUGGCCUCGAGGAAGGUAGGGGCAUGCGGAACUGUAGGUGGAGCGGUGAAAUGCGUUGAUAUCGACAGGAACUCCGGUGGCGAAAGCGGCGUGCUGGACCUUUUCUGACGCUGAGGCACGAAAGCUAGGGGAGCAAACGGG